CCUACGGGGAGCAGCAGUGGGGAAUAUUGGGCAAUGGGCGCAAGCCUGACCCAGCAACGCCGCGUGAAGGAAGAAGGCUUUCGGGUUGUAAACUUCUUUUCUCAGGGACGAAGUAAGUGACGGUACCUGAGGAAUAAGCCACGGCUAACUACGUGCCAGCAGCCGCGGGAAUACGUAGGUGGCAAGCGUUAUCCGGAUGUACUGGGUGUAAAGGGCGUGUAGGCGGGACUGCAAGUCAGAUGUGAAAACCAUGGGCUCAACCUAUGGACUGUAAUUGAAACUGUAGUUAUUGAGGACUGGGGAGGGAGGAGGAAGUCGGGGUGGAGCGGGGAAAGGCGUAGAUAUGAGGAAGAACGCAGAGGGGGAAGGUGGCCU
rnacentral:rRNA from 1 species